GAUGAACGCUUGCGGCAGGCUUAAUACAUGCAAGUCGAACGGUAACAGGGUCUUUGGACUGCUGACGAGUGGCGGAUGGGUGAGUAACGCGUAUGCAACCUUCCUCACACCGAGAAAAAGUCGACUGAAAAGUUGAAUAAAGUCUCGUGGUGUGCAUUUCUCGCAUGAGGGAUGUAUGAUAGAAGCAAUUUGGUGUGAGAUGGGCAUGCGUAUCAUUAGCUAGUUGGUAAGGUAACGGCUUACCAAGGCGACGAUGAUUAGGGGGCCUGAGAGGGUGGUCCCCCACACUGGGACUGGGACACGGCCCAGACUCCUACGGGAGGCAGCAGUAGGGAGUAUUGGUCAAUGGGCGGAAGCCUGAACCAGCCAUGCCGCGUGAUGGAUGACGGCCUUAGGGUUGUAAACAUCUUUUCAGCUAGAGGAAUAGAGUUCACGCGUGGACAGACGACUGUAUAGCAGGAAUAAGGAUCGGCUAACUCCGUG
rnacentral:rRNA from 1 species